GAUGAAGAACGUAGCGAAAUGCGAUACGUAAUGUGAAUUGCAGAAUUCAGUGAAUCAUCGAAUCUUUGAACGCACAUUGCGCCCGCCAGUAUUCUGGCGGGCAUGCCUGUUCGAGCGUCAUUUCAACCAUCAAGCCCCCGGCUUGUGUUGGGGACCUGCGGCUGCCGCAGGCCCUGAAAACCAGUGGCGGGCUCGCUAGUCACUCCGAGCGUAGUAGUUACAUCUCGCUCAGGGCGUGCUGCGGGUUCCGGCCGUUAAAAGCCUUAUUUACCCAAGGUUGACCUCGGAUCAGGUAGGAAGACCCGAUGAACUUAAGCAUAUCAAUAAGCGGAGGA
rnacentral:misc_RNA from 1 species